rfam:Chelonia mydas contig174313, whole genome shotgun sequence.
GUCAGGGUGGCCGAGCGGUCUAAGGCGCUGCGUUCAGGUCGCAGUCUCCACCGGAGGCGUGGGUUCGAAUCCCACUCCUGACA